UACGUAGGGCGCGAGCGUUUGUCCGGAAUUAUUGGGCGUAAAGGGCUCGUAGGCGGUUUGUCGCGCUCGGGAGUGAAAACCUACGGGCGUUAACUCGGGGCUUGCUUUCGAUACGGGCAGACUAGAGGUAUGCAGGGGAGAACGGAAUUCCUGGUGUAGCGGUGAAAUGCGCAGAUAUCAGGAGGAACACCGGUGGCGAAGGCGGUUCUCUGGGCAUGAUCUGACGCUGAGGAGCGAAAGUGUGGGGAGCGAACAGG
rnacentral:rRNA from 1 species